UACUUGUGUCCUGUGGUUUGGAUAAAAAA
rnacentral:piRNA from 1 species